rnacentral:tRNA from 1 species
CUCCCUGUGGCUCAGUUGGUAGAGCAUGGUGUUUGCAAUGCCAGGGUUGUGGGUUUGAUUCCCAUGGGGGGC